ACGGAGGGUGCAAGCGUUAUCCGGAUUCACUGGGUUUAAAGGGUGCGUAGGUGGGCUGGUAAGUCAGUGGUGAAAUCCCCGAGCUUAACUUGGGAACUGCCAUUGAUACUAUCAGUCUUGAAUACCGUGGAGGUCAGCGGAAUAUGUCAUGUAGCGGUGAAAUGCUUAGAUAUGACAUAGAACACCAAUUGCGAAGGCAGCUGGCUACUCGGAUAUUGACACUGAGGCACGAAAGCGUGGGGAUCAAACAGGAUUAGAUACCCUGGUAGUCCACGCCCUAAACUAUGGAUACUCGACAUUUGCGAUAAACUGUAAGUGUCUGAGCGAAAGCAUUAAGUAUCCCACCUGGGAAGUACGACCGCAAGGUUG
rnacentral:rRNA from 1 species